rnacentral:rRNA from 1 species
ACUCCUACGGGAGGCAGCAGUGGGGAAUAUUGGACAAUGGGGGAAACCCUGAUCCAGCCAUGCCGCGUGUGUGAAGAAGGCCUUCGGGUUGUAAAGCACUUUCAGUGGGGAGGAAAGGUUGAUGGUUAAUACCUAUCAGCUGUGACGUUACCCACAGAAGAAGCACCGGCUAACUCCGUGCCAGCAGCCGCGGUAAUACGGAGGGUGCAAGCGUUAAUCGGAAUUACUGGGCGUAAAGCGUGCGCAGGCGGUCUGUUAAGCGAGAUGUGAAAGCCCCGGGGCUCAACCUGGGGAACUGCAUUUCGAACUGGCAGACUAGAGUCUUGUANAGGGGGGGUAGAAUUCCAGGUGUAGCGGUGAAAUGCGUAGAGAUCUGGAGGAAUACCGGUGGCGAAGGCGGCCCCCCUGGACAAAGACUGACGCUCAGGCACGAAAGCUGGGGGGAGCAAACAGGAUUAGAUACCCUGGUAGGCUCUGC